rnacentral:rRNA from 1 species
UACAGAGGGGGCAAGCGUUGUUCGGAAUUAUUGGGCGUAAAGGGCGCGUAGGCGGCGCGGAUAGUCGGCGGUGAAAGCCCGGAGCUCAACUCCGGGUCGGCCGUCGAUACUUCCGGGCUUGAGCACUGUAGAGGCAGAUGGAAUUCCGGGUGUAGCGGUGGAAUGCGUAGAGAUCCGGAAGAACACCGGUGGCGAAGGCGGUCUGCUGGGCAGUUGCUGACGCUGAUGCGCGACAGCGUGGGGAGCAAACAGG